ACCCCUUCAUUCUUGUGAUUUACACCUGACAUAUGUGCCACUUGCAUCACCUGGAUUCCGUCUGGAUGUGACAUUUGUGUGGAUUUUGGCCUGUACAUUCGACAUUGUAUAUAUGGACUCAGAUCUGGUGGGCAAAGGUGGGCAUGUUUUUAUUUCAAUUUUUUAAAUUAAUGCAGCCAAAAACGACAAGCACGCAUGGAGUAGUUGACAGUACUAGCACCCGCCCCCCCCCCCCCUCUCUUGCUCGAAAAGUGCUUAUGAAUUUACAGUACAAGGAGCCCAGAACCACAAACUGAACUACACACAACAUCCCGUACAGAGUAUACCAUUAAUCCUCCACCUUGUCAAAUCCUGACCUGUGGGCCACUUGCCCUCAGGAGGAGGAGGAGGAAGGAUGGAAAAAAAAAAAGACGAGAGCCACAAGAGUCCUUGAUAAAUGUCCCCACAGCAAAUUGAGUCGUUCUUGAAUUUCCCUUUAAACUUUCGCAAAGUAGUCGAAAAUGGGGAGGAUGACAAAUAUCUUGUUUGGCUGCAGCAUAAAGAUGAGGGGGGAAAAAAAGACCCCCGGCCCCCUCCUACUACUCCUCCUCCUCCUUCUUCUUCCUCGCUGUAAUUAAACAUUUCAUCCCGGGGUUCAUAUGGUGUAGCUAUGCUGAUCUAAUUCCCCCGCAUAAUAAAACAUGUAAUAAAAAAAAAAAAGGCACGGGGCAGCCCACGCUGUUCUUACGCCGGAAGAAAUUAAACCUUUUGUCUUUGUGUUGUUGUUGUUGUGGUAAAAUUGAAACAGCGGUUGGUCGGAAAAUAAAAGGGGGCAAGAGAGCUCGUUCUUUCCUGCUGUCUGUAAGCCUUUUGCUCAUUUCAGCAGGAUACAUUGUGUUUGUCCGUGACAAUUUCAGGUCCUGAAAUUGGCAUCUCUAUUCCUAGUUGGCGGUUGGGAUUUGGGGGGGGGGGGGGGGGUUAAAUAAAAUUCAAAUUCUUCAGGUGGUAAAAUAAAUAAAUAAAAAAUAGCAAUAUUGGAACUGUCUGAUGCCGUUAUCUGGCCGUUGAAGAAGCCAGACUCGGAAUUGGUUUACUGCCAAACCCGCCCUCCCUGGGAAGACAGAGGGAUUUAUCCCCCCCCCCCCCCCCUACACACACCCUCUUCUUGUCUGUGCGUCACAUCGCUAUCAGAAAAAAAAUUAUUCUCGCCUCUCACUGGCUGAAUAAUAUUCAUACAUUAGCAUGGCAUUAAUGGGCGUCAGACUUUUAAUAAGUCACCGGCUGUAAUUAGAAUGAUUGCAGUUCACAAUUGGAACGCCGUGUUGCUGCGGGUCACAUCGGACUUGUUUGUUGUCGGGGGAAGAUAUAUGGACCGUGUUGAUAUAUAUGUAAAAAUAUAUAUGAAUGCAUAUAUGUACAGUAUAUGUAUAUAUAUAUAUAUAUAUAUAUAUAUAUAUAAAUGUAAUAUACUGUAUAUAUAUUUUUUGCUUAUCUGCUAAACUCAUUUGCUGGCUCUCCGCUCAUGCAUGGGUGAACGAGCAGCAUGCAAAUGGCAGAUGCGCACCCAUACACAUGCAUUUAAAAUUUUUUUUAUGCAUACAUAAAUGGAGCUGAAAUGUCCCAAAAGUGAAUCUCUCUAGUUUCCUUUGCAUGCCACUUCUUCAAUAUGCAUGCAGGUCCGUCCCUACAGCUCUUUUAAACAAGGCUCCCCUCGAUGAAUAUGCAAAUGGGAAAAUAAUCAAAAUGACAGCCACUAAUAUGAAUUUCACAAAGUGACCCACGACGUAGAAUGUCUUCAUGUCCUCGGGGACGGCGACGUCGUCAUUGCUUUUAACUCCCCUUAAAUGCAAGCAACGUGAGGACAGCGGUGUGUAGAAUUCAGGCCAUCGUGAUCUUUUGGAAAUAAAUCAGCGUUAAUUAGAAUCGGGGAAAACGUUGACGUGUGUCUGUUCAAACAAAAAACAAACGGAAAAAAAAAAGCUUUUAGUCAGACUUUUGUUGGGAAGCUAUCAAGGACGCAUUGAAAAAAGUUGUUCAAGCCGCGUUGGCCUUUGGGCUCAGCGAGUAGCUUAAUUAAAGAUAUAAUAACGCCUUGCGGUAGUGUAACAAUUCCUACAAAUACGCAGUCCAUCUGCGCAGCGGUUUCAUUUUCAAAGCUCACAGUCUCCUUCGCGGCAACUGCCAGGCAAAAUGUCACUUCAUAACUCUUUGUGUACAUUUCACAACGGAGACGUUUUUAGAGCUGUUCCCACUCUACCGCCAUAAAAGUACUGCAGUGUGUCCAUGUUUCAUGCUAUGCUAGCUGCUUUGAAUCCCAAUAGCCCAAAGCAAAUAGUAAACUAUUUUUUUUCUUCGUGCUAUCCGAUUCGAACGAAAAACCUCUCUCCAGCUGACCUCCCGUCCUCCCGACUAGCGCAGGAAGUUGUUUUUGAUAAUCACGUCCGUGCCCAGUAUUGAUUCUCUGUAAUUCUGAAGCUAGUUUGCAAUUAUAAUCCAUUAAAAAAACAAACCUUUUUUAAUAUUGGAGUUUUUUUUUCUUUUUUUUUCUUUGCCGGGCCAAAUAAUAAGUGAUUUUCACAAAAAGCAGUCAUCCAAGGCAACCGAUUAUUAUAUUUGCUGGCAAUUUUUUUUUCUGUUAAUGAUUUAAGUGUCUCAAUUGCGAGGAAUGAUUACGGAGCUUUCCUCAAGCAAUUGCUUACAAUUAGACUUCAGGCAUGGCUGAUGGAUGCCGUGCGGCGUAUAUUUUCAGGUGUUUAUGUGCCUUUUUCUCCUGUACUGUCUUCAGAUUGUUUGGGAACAAAAAGCCCGUAUCAUUUUGUCUUUUUUUGCGGAGGUCGCAAGUGCUCUUGUCCUGGCAAGUGGCGUCUCUGGUGAGUCGGGACAGGAAGGCCGUUGUUGUUGUCAGGACAAUUUUUUAUUGUGCUUCACUGCUUUACCUCCGCGGAAAUGACUGCUUGUGCAAACUAAUCAUCGCCACCCAAAAUAGCCAAAUUGUGGUUUUAUAAUGUGUUUUUUGGGGGGGGAGGGCGUUAUUUUCCAGGGGAAAUAGCUGGGUUGCAUGUUGUGUCAGAUAAUUGACGUGCAAGGGCAGCAUGGUUAUAUAGUGGUUACUUUGUGUGCCUUGAAUGUCUUUAAUUCAGGCUCUGAAUCUCCUGUGUGGGCUUUCGAUUUCCUCCCUGUGCUUGCGUGGGUUUAAUUGUGACUUUUUGGAUAGAUAGUGCCGAGUUACUUUUUUUUUUUUUAGUUUCAAAAUCUUUUUUUGCUGUCACCAUCUAUUUGUUUUGAUUUCUGAAAGCGCCUUCUGCCUCGGGCACUGACACCACGGUUUUGUUUCACCAAUCCACCGUCGGCGACGUUUGACUCCAACCAAUCAAACUGAGCCGGAGAGUCACAUGACACAAAGUCUCCGCAGCGCCAUGCAAAAAAAAAAUAAUGUUGAUUAAUCCGUCCAUCCUUUUAAUUCUCCAUACCGCUUAUUCUCACUUAGAUUCCCAUUUUUUGAAUGAAAAAUCAAGGAUAAUUGUUUAUUCAACUAUUGUUUAAGUUGCUGUAGUGAGUGGUUUGGUUACAAGAAAAUGCUUACAAAUGUCUGUUAUUUAUGACGUGAGUGUUAAAUUUUGGUCGAGAUUUUGGCAAGCAUCAUGGAAGUUUACGUGUUCGAUUUGCUUUCGCGGGCCGCGUAAAAUGAUGCGGUGGGCCAGAUCUGGCCCCCGGGGCCUUGAGUUUGAUACCCGUGGUUUACACCUUCAUGGCCAUUUGACGUUGGUGCUCGGACGACUCGCUGAAUACUUUUUUGACUUCUGAUUUCUCAUUUAAUUGUUGUCUUGAAUCACAUUAUUCUUAAGUAAUUGUACUUUUUCGCCGAGUCUUCUCACCACUUCGUCAACAUGUGCCUUGCCUCUGGCCCAAAAGCUAGCUGCGAUCGGGCGCGGCUCCUCCAAUUUGGAGGAGGAACUUUCGAAAACGGAUCGAUGGAUGAGAAUGACGGAAAAUCAGAGCGUCGGGCACGAAAAAAAAAAAAUAGCUCAGCGACGGGGAUCUUUGCCGUUGCCAUUUCACCGUGCUGGAGGUUCCGAGGGAUCCGUUUUCCUGGAACCCAUUUCACAUGCUAAUUCAAUUCCACGGCUGUCGUCCUUCCGCGCAUCGGCGCCAGCGUGGCGAUAAUAAGCGGCGGCAACAGGAAAGCAUGAACACACACACACACAAAGGAUCGAUGGGGACUGUUUUUCAUAAAUUGAGUGGGUGUUAAAUUAGCUGGACGGGGCUGACGGGCAACACAUGGGAUUGAGUGAGCGGUAUAUUUGGGUGCUGUCUAUCGACUGUGACAGCAAGUGAAAAAGACAAAAGACCCUGAUACUCAAUCAAUGGGAACAAUCAGGCACCGCCGCCAUUUGUGUUUGAGGUUCUUUCCGAGUGGACGGCAGUGUAAUUUUCACCAGCAAAUACUUGCACCGUUACUGUCAUCUUGUAAUGGCCACUCCUGAUUGCCCCCCUUUGGUCUCCUGCUUGAUUUCCACCAUUCAUCUUGAAAGCAAGUCCAAAUAGCCGUAUUCAGAUCGCUCUGUUUGCUCGUAUUACCCUCCGCGUUGAAUUGGGUUUUAAAGGCACCGCGCAAAUAUCAUUCUGUCGCCACUUGAGGAAAAGACCAACAACCCACCCCCACUCCGCCGCAUCCCCCCGCCCUGAAUCGAUAUAACCUUGCCCUACUGGUUGCUUGGCAUUUCAGUGAAGUCGGUCACAGCCUACUACUGGCAAAGCUUUAGAAGGGCAACGCGCGCUCUUAAUAGAGCAGCCGGAUCGAUUAUGAUGCUGUUGCUCUUAUAGCAAACGAUAUUGCAGAUUGCAGCACGGGAAGCCAACACACGCACACACACACACACACACACACACACACACAAAAUAUAAUAAUAAAAGACCAACUGUAUUUGUAUGGUCAGGAAAGUAGACACAUUCUCUGCAUUUUCUUUUAACUCAUUCAGUACCAGCCAAUUCCAAGUCUGAGAAGACGUUUAAAACCGUCUUUGGGAGUGAAUGAGUAAAUGGAUUUUCCACAAUCCAAGGGGUCCUCGGUUGACGUUCACCUAUGAAGCGUUGUUUCAAACUUUUCAAUGCAAUGAACCACUUUCCAUGCAGCAUAAGAAUACAAUAAAAUACAAUACUUGCUGAUUUAGCGCUUUCACACCAGCUGCAGCCGUAACAAAGCGCUUUACAAAACAGUUAACAUAAAGUAGGUAAAUAACAUAAAAAUAAAUCAUAAAAAAAUAAAUAAUAAACACAACACAUAACAUCAAAACGGGUACAGUCGUGCAAUUUGAACCACUUUUCCCCGCAUGCGCUUUGUUGUUUAUUGAGAAUGUUUUGUCACACGGCACGGGAACACACGCAGAGGACGCAAUUGAACGAAUUGAUGCCGCUCGUACCUCAAGGCCCCCGCCGAUGUUUAUUAAUGUCAUGCCCUCAAGUUAAAGCAAUCCCCCCCCCCCCCCCCACGUCCCACCUGUCCCUCGAAAAAGAAGAGUCACACGCAAAUGAAAGCAAACGCAAAUCAAUUGACCUAAUAGCUUGCCCGAUCAAUCUUCAUGUUUUUCUUACGGCCCCGCACAGGGGCGGUGGCGUAAUUGGCGUGAACACGGGAGGCGCGGUGUUAAUGGCAGGAGUCGACUCCUUCCUCCCCCCUUCCUCGUCCCCUUCCUUACCUCCCUCGGUCCUCGCAGCUCUGGCGGCAUCAAUACUGUCACCUCUUUGUCCUGGCAGCCGUCUCCUUAAUAGCGUGUAAGACCCCUUUUAAAGUCUGGCGCUCAACAUCGACACUUUCAGUCAGGCUGCAAAAUUAGAAGAGACAAUGUAUUAACAGUGUGUGUGUUGUUGUGUGUGUGUGUGUGUGUUGUGUGUGUGUUACAAACCCUUCUUAAAGACGUCAUUCUCAAAGUUUAGUAACUGUACCAAUGGUAGCACGCAGGCUCUCUCUAGUCAUAUGCAAAAAAAAAAAAAAAAUAUUAAAAACAAAAAAUCAAACUGCGGGUAAUGUGACAGCAACUUCAUUUUUAUUUAUUUAAUCCAGUGAAGUCCAGUUGGCAAGUACUGUUCAGUUGUAUUUACUUUUUAAGUUUAACAUAGUGGCAUCUUUCAGAACAGUUUUUCACAUUUAUUGAACUUUUGUAUUUGCAAUAUACUGUAUAUUCUCUCACAUAUUGGUGGUUUUCAUUUUCCGUGAUAGAAACACAGUGUUCAUGUGUACGAAUUGUGCCUGGUGUUACAGUGGCAACCCGAAAUACUGACUAAAGUAUGAUCACAAACUUUUCUUUCAUAUCAACUCAUGGCAAAAUCUUAACGGCUAUGAUCAAAACAAUUCAAUCCGUUAUUGUUUAUCGUAAUACAGAUUCAUUAGUUGCUUGUGUUUGUUCAAUAAAUGCAUGGGAACGGGACCUUCAAAAAAAAAAAGAUUGAAUAAUAAAUCACAAUCGUAAUUUUCAGGGGCGUUGGGAUUCCAUAAUAUUUUUUCUCAAUCAUUCGACCUUAGCACAAGGUGUGAGAAGUUUGAGAACAACUGCUUUCAAGUGGAUGGUGUUGGAAGACCACAUGAUAAAAACGCGUGUGUGUGUUGAGGGGAAAAAGAAAGAACAGAGGAACAGAAGAGGCAGCGUGAUGGAAAGUGAGCAUGAGAGCACAUCCGGGGUGGAUUAAUUAAGGAUUAUAAUUACCUUGGAACGAUGCAGGCCUCACCUGAGACUGCCCCUUUGCCGCCGACGCUUGGCUCCUGGUGCCCUCUGUACCCCCCCCCCCCCCCCCACUUGACUCCCCCCCUACUCCCGCCUCCCUUCAUAACAAUGAGACGAAAACACAAACCUCACUCGCCGUAUCAUACGUUCACCUCUUGUUGACCGCCGUGCUCAAAUUGUGUCAAAAAGCCUCUCGACUGCCUCUUUACAAUCUGCGUCGACAUAUGUUGCUCCGCGCCGUUUAAAUGCGACUCUCCGGCCCAUAUGUCCGCUUUGCGUGCAGCCGGACUGCAUUAUUAAUACAUUGACUUAAUCUUCUUAAUUCACUUCACUGGGAUAUCUAUCCAUCCAUUUUCAUUAGCAGCUAUCCUGAUUUUGGGGCGUGGUUGUAGCUACACUUUGGACACGCAUAAAAAUACCAGUCCAACUCACGUUCACACCCAAGGCCGUUUUUCGUUUCGCCGAAGAUUGCGAGAGUCCACUCUCCAGACAAUGUUUUAUGACGACUUCAAUGCAGCUCACAAAAUGGGAAAUAGGAGCAGGUCAUUGAAAGAAAAAAAAAAAAACGGGGUACAGUCGAAGACGCCUAUUGUUCAUUCACGCACCGUCGACAUGGGUGAUUGACGAAGCGCGGUGUUUCUUAUUAUGAGGUGCGCCUCGCUUAUUGUUUAAUUGAUGAUUGCGUUUCGUCCCAAAUGGCAAAAACAAGCGUGUUGUUCCUUCGGCAGCAGGAGCGAGAGGAAUUCUAAUGUCUUUCUCGCCGACCACUUGGCCGUAGUCGUCCACGCCACUUGAUUUAUUAGAAAAUGCUAUUGAUUGGGUGAAUUAAUGCGGUGCCAGUUUAAUCAGUGCGCAAUGGGAACUGUGCCGCACGUCUCUAAACUCGAAAUGAAUUGAGUGUAUGAUAUCGAUCCGGUUAUCUGCAGUAUUUAUAUAGCUAUUUGUCCACUCCUUGAUUAAUUCGCUGUGUACAAAACAAUGUCACCAAGGCUUUUUGGGUUGAAUUUGAUAUGAGCGACAGCUUGUGCAGGCUAUGCAUUAAACAUUUUUAUUUAUUAAUUUUUUGAUACAUUAUGCGUUCAAAAUAAUGGAAUGACAAACAUGUACAUAGGAGCCUCCGCCAAUAAUAACAACUUACAACAAGGAUACAUUUGGUGAUAUUUAGUAAAGGUACUUUUUUACUUUAAACUUUUACUUUCAACACAUACCGGAGCAGUAUUUGAUGAUUUCAAGUUUUUUUCCACCUCUACCAAAAAUCACGGCGUUUUCGACAUGUAGCUGAAAAUAGCGUACUUCAGUACACAGUGCAAGUUGGCCUUGCUAAUGCUGGUUAGCGAGUUAGCUUAUCAGGCCUACAAGUUAGUUCAGAUUUAGGAUUAGGAUGAAGUUAUUUUUAUCAAGUUGUUUUUAUCAAGUCAUGGUACCUCUCCUUCAGUCCUACUUCUGUCUAAACCUGAUUCGUUGUCAUGACUCGGCGCUAGUUAGCUUAACAUGUUCUAAAGUUGUUUUUUAAAAUCUCUAUCAAGCCACCACACCUCCCCUAAAAUCUCUAAUUCCACCUGCUUCAGUUUUUGAAUAAUUACCUAACUUGUGCAACUUAAUACUUAAAAAAAAGAAGAAAAAAAUUAUAUAAAAGCCUCUCUUAUUUUCAAAUACUCCUGUCAAAACCGCCUUCCAUUUUUAAAUAAUUGUCAGCUCAUGUUCUCUUUGCAAGUUUAAUUUUUUUUCUUUUUAACCUGUUUUAAAAUUCCUAAAUAAUCAAUGACAGCCCCCCCCCCCCCUCACAAACACACACUUAAUUAUACUCCAAGUAGAACAUGUUUGUUCUUCCUAUCAGCAUGCUUCGGUGUAUGCCAAACUCAGGAAAUGGGCAAAACCCUUAACGAUGAGGUUUUCUCAUCUAUUUUGCGAAAUAAUCAGGCGUUCACACACAGUGUGAGGGCUCUCGCCCGGUUGUGCGCACGGUGAGAAGUGUCAUUGUGUAACAGCGGUGGGGCCCCCGACGUAGCAGAAGAAGCGCGGCGUUGCUAUGCGCCGACCUGGCGAUUGAGCAGUACCUGUCAAAUGAGGGGAAAGUAGCGCCCUAAUUAGAACUAACUGUGGACGGAUGAUGCUUUGUGACAGCUGUCUCAUCUGAUUCAGCCGCCUACUGAUGGGGAACAUUUGUUUGGAGGUGUUUGUUUAGGCUCAUUACCGAUUUUAAAAGGAGAGACUUCACCCGUCUGGCUCCCCGUCUUGCGUGUGAAACUGAGGGCUAUACAUAUUACAGAGCUCGCAAUCUCAACUGUCAGUGAUUUUCUGCACUUUACCGAGCUAUUUCCGUUCAUCAUGUGUAGAUCUGAUUAGCAAAGCGGCUAUUUUAGGACACCUAAAGUAGCUGGAAUUAAUCUACAAUGGCAGUCGGCGGGGACGUGAUGUGUUGAAAUGGGACAUUUUGGAAAAACAGUCCCCCCCCCACAAAAAGUUUCUUGAAUGUCUGCCAAGUAAUGCAGUCUAAUAUUAAACCGAAUACACCUUUUGGUUAGGUGCUGGCUUUUGAAGUUACGACUCGAUUUGCAUUGUACGAUUUCUCAACUGCAACACCCUCCCCGCUCCCUCCCAAAAAAAACAAACAAAAAAAACAUUUUGCAAAUCUAAAAAGUAGUCCAAUAAACAUUUGUUGAAAAAUAUUUUAAUAAAGUCAAGGGUUGGAGUUAGUAUUUAUUUAUUUUUUAGAUUUUGAGACCAAUAUUUUUCCUUUUCGUGAAAAUGAGUAACGACUCCAAAUAUCAGUUACCUUGACGAAUAUUAAUCAGUAUCAGUGUCAGCCCUGAGAAAAUAAAAUAACAAAACAUCUCAGUCUAUCUCUAUUUUUUUUGUGCAAAUAGGGGCAGCAAUUGCUGAUUUUUUUUCUUUUCAGGAAAGUGUAACAACAACAAUUUGCUUUAGAAAAUAACGAUUGCAAAUAAGUGCACCAGUAGCAGUUUGAACAGCAGGAAUGAGCUCGUAAAAAGAUUGAAGUUGGCUAGCCAGAGGCAGAGCUGCAUUGUGUUUGUUUCCUGACUAUACAUUAUUUUCAUUAGUGAAUAUUUUCUGUGUAAUCGACAUAAUAAUUAUCAGGCACAAUUGCCCUCGUCUCUGAAUAUGACCUUUUUUUUUUUUAAAUUACGGCGAGCGAGUUUCGAACUAACGUCAAGGAAAACUUUUGGAAAGCAGAUAUAGAGAUGCGGGCGGCCUUGAGCGGAAUACCUGCGCGUGAAAGUUUUCUUUUCACAAGAUUCCUACUUAAUGAAAAUCUCUUAUCCGAUAUACAGUACAGGAAGAGGGCAGUCGGCGAAUGGCUUACAUAAUGUGUGAAAAAAGAAAUCAUUACACUCCACGUGGGAUUGAGUGUGGUUUUCAGUGGAGUCUUUCAUAACGUAAAGCAUACAUCAUAGAUUGCGGACGCUUCUUAAUGGCUCGUGGCGUUCCAAGGAAAAACUGACCUUCAGCACAUUCGAAACUUUGCCACUUGUGUUUAAAUGCACGUACGGGUAACACAAUUAGGACCGGCGUCAGGCGACGCUUCGACCGCAGCCGCAUGCUAACAAGAUUAGCCCGCUAGAAAUUAGGAAAACUCAUUUGCAUAACCUUCAAAUCGAUCUUUGUCUCGUCAGUCGCUUCUUCUCGGAGGUGUCAUCGCAAACAAAGGCGAGCGCGCGUUUUGUUGCGCUUUCAUGUUCCCACGCGCCGUGCGUCUGACAGCGUUCGCCUUCAAGGGUGCCGUAAAAUCAUUAUCACAACAAAAACAUUGAUGCAAAAUGCCCCCCUCCCGUCUCCAUUGUUCUACGGGGGGGAGAAAAAAAAAUCACCCGGACGUUCGUUGCGAAACAAAUCAUGUUCGUCGGCGGCAGCUACAGGCUCUCAAUCGAGUUACUGCGAACUGCAGUUCGCUCGAUUUGCUCCGAGUAAACAGGUUAAAGUUUUUAUAAGUCAUAUAAACGUCUGUUUGGUUCGGCAAGGCUCAUAUUUGAGUUGUUCUUUCCAUAAACAUGCAUUCUCCCACCCCCCCCCCCCCCCACCCUCUUAUGUUCCUUUUCAUCCAAAAACAAUUUGUUCUGCCCUCACAGGCGCAACGGAAUAAUCACGGCUACUUCAGCCCACAUUCAUACACGUUUGCUCGACGGCCAUUUCCAUUUCACAGAACGGACGCAACGUGUGUUGGCUCGCCGGGUCUUCAAAAGUGCCUCUGUUUACACUGUGGUCCGUGCACUUGUCCUACACUCCACCUCUGCACCCGCCACGAUGCGGAUGGAAAUAUGAAUGACCUCUGAUGGAACUUGAUAUUGAGCUCUUUUAAAGCUGCGAGGCUUUAGACAAUAUGCCGCUCGCUCGGUUGAAGGUGUGGGAGCGGGCAGUGGCUCCUCGCUAUAGUGAGGUGAAAAUCUCUUAUAUAGAAAGAUUAUUAUCAGACAUUUUUUAACUCUGUGUGUGUGUGUGUGUGUAUACACUGAUCCCUCAUUUAUCAGGGUUAAUGGGGACCGAGACCUCCCGCGAAAGACAAAAAUCUGCGAAGUAGGUCCCCCCCGCCCCAUACAGGUAUAUGUACAUGUGUAUGCGUAUAUACAAUAUUGAUAAGGCCACAUUUAAUGGUAUACAAGCAUUUAGAAUUAAAUGAAUGAAUAGUAAUUAACAUUGCGUAAUGCUGUAUACUAAUAUAUCUAUACAUGUAUAAGUUAGGUUAGUGUAUCAAUAACAAAAUACAGCAAAAAUGAACAUGAAACAUACAUGUAGGACUGUACAUGUUACUCACUGUUUUGCUGACUUUCGCCGCCUCUCACGGACCUUUUGCGGCAUUUUCGCUAUUUUUUAAAGUUAUAUUUUGAUGAAUGCUUUUGAAAAAUCCACAAUGCACUGAAACCGCGAAGUAGCGAGGGAUCACUAUAUCUAUCUAUAUCUAUCUAUAUAUAUUUAACACAAACCUUGGCUAGCAUAAAAUGCUUCAACAGUGCUGUACAUGUUUGUGUGUUUGAUACGUUCCCGCGUGUGUGAGCGUCUGUGCACGGGCUGUGGUCGACAGCAGCCGCUCAUUGCGUCUACAAGUUUGACUGCUCUCCCUGCCGGAAAGUGUUUAUUGGCGACUUCCCGUUCUCCUUUCCUGCAAGCGAGGACGUUUAUCGUCAUUAAAGUACAGUACAGGCAGAUUGAGCCUGACUGAAAAAAAAAAACUGAGAGUAGUUUAUGCCACCCUAUAAAAGUUUACAAUGAUCUCACGUUUGAGAUGUGCCAUUUCAACAUCGUUGCAGACGUGGCUUACAACAACAUCUUCUGGUGUCAUAGGGUUUCAUCUCAUUUGGAAGGAAGAUACCUCUUGGAACAUCUUGAUUUUGACUGACAGGCCCCAAAUUAAAGCGAGUGUGUUUGUGUUUUGCUUAUCGGGCUAAAAUCAUCAUUCCUGUUUUCUUAUUCACCCUGCUUUUGUUAAAUGAGCGACAGUAAAAGGCUUUGUUUACUCCCGGUUGCAUCGGGGAGUGCAACCGGAUGUAAAGUAUAGCGGAGGAAUAUCAUACAUUUUGACGGGAUUUAUGACCGCUGUCUUGAGACGCUCUCGCUCGCCGCGCUUGCGCUCGUUAGCCGGCUAGAACAAAGACAUUAAAAGCAAACGAACAUGGCGGCUGAUACGCUUGGAGUGACGUCAGCCAGGGAGAGAAGACAAAGGUCGUACGCGUCCCACGGACCCUCCCGUUUCUUCGCUCGCCGAUUCGGCUCCUCCGCGGAAGAUUAUCUCCGAGUGACGGCCUCGUUUGACAGAUGGGCGGAUGAUGGAUCUGAUGUGAUAGACAGCGGGGUGAUGGAUGGAUGCUUUGGCUGAUAGGGGUUUAAUGUGGCGACGGGGCCGCGGCGGCAGCGCACUGGAUAGCUUAACGAUAGAUAAAACCGGACGAGCAGAUAAACAAGAGAGUGCUAAUCCUGGCGUUGCACCGCCCCUUUGAUGGACAGAAAAUCAAAGCCGGGUAAAGGAACCGCGGAGGGAGGAACAGUGGACCCUUUUUAGAUUGUUGUCAUGCGGUUGAAGCGCUUUUAACGCAAAAGGGGAUGAAAACGCAGCGAGAGUGGAGGUGGACCACCGCGGUGCAGCGGUUUCUUGGCAUGGGGUCAGCGAUAGCACACAUCUGUCCUUCCAGGCUUGAGGUUGGAUAUAUCGGACAAGAAAGGGAGGCGCGCUUCGUGAUAUGACACCGCGGGCGAGAGCCAGGGCCCGCCGAUGUCCAAGCGUGAGAUCGGGCGAAGCGGCAAAUUGGCAGUAGUGGGACGUGAUGAGAUGAUGGGGACAGGCAAGGAUUGAAGGAAGAUGGCGGCCAUGAUUGCGGCGUCCUUUACCGUAUUCCCUCUUCCACUUUGCUUGUGGAACAGCGUCACGUCGGCCGUAAACAAAAGCGACGCUUUCGCUUCGCUCUUUAUGUGGAUGCCGUUGUGCCAAAUGGCCAGAUGAAAAGCAGCCUGUCGCGAUGUGAGCGAGGAGGAGGAGAAGCAGGGAGGACGAGCCCGGUGAGAGUUCAUCUGAAAAUAGGGAGUAAGCUGCCCAUCCUCGUGCUAUUAUCCAGCGCUAAACUUUGCCUGGGUUCAUCGUUUCAGGGGGACCCCCUGGGGCCUCUGGCAUCGAUCCGCCGUGCUCAGAAUGCACUCCGGUGUCACCUAUUUAAGCACAGCAAGCUGCCAGCCAACACAGAGGAGCCUUUAUUUAUCAGGCCUCUGAUUUUGGCCUGCACGGAUGACAACCUGAUUAUCACUUAAAGGAGCUUCUAAAUCUUUUAUUGGAUGCAGUCUGUAUGAAGAGAGAGACAGCGGGGGUCGGGGAGAUGAAGUGAGGUGAGGGUCUGUGUCAUCCUUCGAGGAGGCUUAACGAAGGAAUGGACUGGAUGAGAAGUGUGUGACGGGGAGAAAGGAGAGUGUGGACAAUGGCGGAGUAACCGAGAGCGGGUGUGGUGGUGGUGAUGGAGAUUUGGGGGAAGAACAAACAAGAAGACAAGUGGAAUAAUACGGAAAGAGUGGGGAGCUCAUUUGAGAUAAUCGUUUCUGUCCUGUGACAAUUACCAAUCUACAUAGCGCAAAUGACUCCUGCCGGACAGAUUUCAUUCCAAAGUAUGUAAAAAAAAAAUUCCAGUGCAAAGUGCUCUCUUGCAUUAAAAAUAACCAUUGAAAACUGAACAAGAAAUCACUUGGUUUUUCCACAAAAAUUAACUUUCAAAAUUUCAAUAUUAUUGAGUUACUAUGUGGAAAAAAAUUAUAUAUAUAUACACAGUAUAUACAGUGAAACUCCUCUACAAUGAAAUCAUGUUUGCAGCAAGAAAUUUUUCUCAACAGGGGGCUUUUCACUGCAGCAAAUUUUAUCUCGAAUGUAAACACACACACGCACACACACAAAACGUAUGUGUGUACUCUUUUAGGCCUGCUCCCAUUGUAGUAUAGGGCAAUAUAACACCCAGUAUGAAUACAAGUAAGACAUCAGUCAUCUAGUGGUGAAUGGUGAUAAUACAACUUAAAACAACAAUUGACAAUUUCAGUUUGGCCCCUGUGGCUUUUUCUCUCUAUUUCAUUUUUCUUUUUUCAUAUUUUAGUUUUUUUUUCUAAUUUUGGGGUUUUCCCCAUUUUGACGCAGUUUUCAUUGAAAAUGGAUCUUACAUGUUUACCAGUAGUUUUAAAAAAAGAUUUUUGUGGGUCUAAAUAAAUUACAUAAAUAAAGUUGAGUUGUUCUUAAUCACGGGGCCACUCGGUGUGGUUGCAGGCCGCAUGCAGAAUUUUCCAAAAUUGUUCUGCCCUAGCACGCUUGCUUACCAGGCUCUAAGUCAGCGGCAAAGUAAGAGCAUGCCAGGCCAGUCCAAGUGAGCAAGUAAUCGGGGUUAGAGACGGAUGUGUUGACAGAACGUGUCGGCUUUAACUGUGUUGACCCCUGGCCAAUCCGGUCUGCAUGCACAAGUGGCGGAAUUUGAGUGCCACCCCGGCCGGACGUGCGCAGACUGCAAAAUUGGUACGUGUGUUUCGUCGACUUGGAUGUGAAAUGAAUGUAAAUGGGAGCGAGUGUGAGCGAGGUGUAUGUGGCGGGUGUUUGCGCAUCUAUCUCCAUGUGUCAGUCCGCUACCGCGCCGACAUCAUUUUCGAUGAGCCCAGGGGAGAGAGAGUUUCUGUGCAUUCUUGGCGCCACAUAAUUGUUGCCGCAUCGGAGCGCCCCAUUUCAUCUUCUCUAUAAUUCCAGCCAAUUUGUUUCAUCUGCUUUUUGUUUUCUCCUCGCUCUGUUUUUUGCCUCGCCGAGACACCCAAAUGACGUCUUGCAUUUUUAAAAUGGUUUAUAUUAAACCCUAAAGAAGAAACUCUUUUUUGUCGUUUGCUUUGGCCUAGCGCUGAGAAGUCGAUCACGGAGCCGCUUUAGCAUUAACACACAAACAUUACAACUUGGAAAUUUUGUCCGACUUUGUUAACUCAUUCAGUACCAGCCAAUUCUAGACCAAGCCUGAAAAGACGUUUAAAAACGUCUUUGGGAGUGUAUGAGUUAAAAACUAUGACGUUUGCAGUUUCUAGAGAAAACCUGUUAUGAUUGUUGAAUGUCUGUUCCAUUGAAAGCAUAUAUUGGAAAUUUUGAAAUGAAAAUUGUUAAAUUGUAUUGUAACUAUUUGGGCUUCAGCAAUCACAUACGUUGACGUUAUUACGGUAAUAUUUCAACACCAAAAUGUCUCCUUGCUCGAGACAUGCUGACAACGCAGAGUUCAAACUUAAUUCGAUCAGUUACGCAGUUGAACACGGAAAUAGAGCAGCGGCAAAAGAGUUCAACGUUAACGAGUCAAUGUUAUAAAUUGCUGUCGGUUAAGUGAAAUGUGUCGCUGCUUUGUUAAAUGAGUUGUACUGACAUCUGAUCGUUAUGUUGCCGUUUCCUUGAGCGUAGCGCCAUCUAGUGGAUGCAUACAUUGUCAAUUGCGUUUUAUAAUGCGGUGCGCCCAAUGUAUGAAAAAAAAUUACAAAAUAGGACAAUCGUUGAAGGUCCGCCUCAUAAUCCAGUGCGCCUUUUAGUGUGGAAAAUACGGUACAUUUACGUUAUCAGAAGAUGAGACGACUCCGUGUAUCUACUUACUACUCUAGAACAUUCGAACCUGUGGGCGGCGCGGUGUGGGACUAAUCAGCACGUCCGCCUCACAGUGCAGAGGUGCAGGGUUUGAUUCCGGCUCCGGCCUUCCUGAGUGGAGUUUGCGUGUUCUCCUCAUGCCUGCGUGGCUUUUCUCCGGGUACUCUGUUUUCCUCCCACAUUACAAAAACAUGCACGAUAGGUAAAUGGAAGACUCUAAAUUGUCCCUAGGUGUGGUUGUGAGCGCCGACGGUUGUUCGUCUGUGUGUGCCCCGCGAUUGUCUGGCAAACGGUUCAGGGUGUCCUCCGCCAACUGCCCGAAGACAGCUGGGAUAGGCUCCAGCCCGCUGUUUCGACAGUAUGAUGAUUGCACAGGUGUGCCUUACACCGCCCACAAUAAAAGGCCACUCUCAAACGUACAGUUGUAUUGUAUCGUAAAGUGGCACCAUGGAUUAAUUUAUUUUAAAUUUUCCCCGUAGUCAAUCAUGACGAUUGCGUUGCGGACCCGCAAAUCAAUCCCCUAACGAGCACCCAUUGUGCGUUCCAUCAUGUUGACAAGGUCAGGUGACGCUUAGGUCAAUAUUGUCGCGUUGAACCCGCGCGCCCGCUUGAUUGAAACUCCCCGUGCUAUAAAUCAGCGGGAGCCGUUUCAUUUUUCAUGUCAUCAGUUGUUUACCCGCGCGGCGACAAUGGCGGCCGAGCGACGCCAGCCCGAGCUCUUAUUAGAGAGCAGCGAGAUAAUUUCCAAGCGCUGAUUCCAUAUUCAACGCAAACAGGCGCAUACGUGAGUGUCAGCGCAGAUACGCUGCGUGCAGGCGGGGCGUCCUGGAACAAAAGCUAUUGUGCUUCCUCAUCAAAUGCUUUUUCCCCCUUUGUCAUCUUGUGUGAGUGUGAUGGCAGCGCUGGUGUAAAAUGUCAAGAGAAUUAGCGUGGCAUUAAUACACACACUCUGUCGUCCGCCUCCCUUCUCUAUUUGGCCUCUCACUUUGCUCUGCUCGCUUGUCUCGCUCGCGCUCCCGCCGCCGAACGCUUGUCCGACCCUUUCCCGCUCCCCCUCGAGGGUGGCGUUGAUUGUUCGGGGUCGUCGCACCUUUCGGUGAUCAAACUCAAUUUUUCACACUUUGGCCAUCAGUCGGCACGACAGGACAAUCGAGACAGAUUUGGCCGACUGUUGCGAAAGCCUCAAGACGCUUUCUGCCGAGAUCCGGGCAACGGGAUUAGCUUUAAAUGGAAUUUAAUUUCCACCAUUGUUGACGUCUGAAGCCUGUCUACCUCCCAGACGCGGUGACGCAACGCGCCGCGCAGCCGCUUUCACCAGUCGGCGCCCGCUAAAUCUCUUUCAUUUAAUCACGCUCAAGUCUUUAUGUCUUUCACUGGCAAUCAGCUGUCCAAAUGCUAUAUGUCAAUGCCACAAUGCUGACACGCUCGAUGCUAUUACAGUAGCAGAUGGGUAGGGUUUUUUUUUUAACUCAGUUUCACAAUGAGGAAAGAUAUGCUUGUGUCACAAAACAAGUAUUGCACUCUCAUUUCAGAAAAUGUCAAAAAGAACAACAUGCUGGCUAGUAAUAAGAAAAACCUUUUCUUGGCGUAUAAUACUUGACUGUGGUGUCAUUGAAAGCAAAAAAAAAAGACAGCGUUGUGGUGAAAGGUUUCUCAAUGAUUUGAACGAGACAAAUAUAAUAAAAGGUAUUGUUGUCUUGUGAGGGGGGAAAAAAACAUGCGAUGACAGAAAAAAAUGUGAACAAAUUGAAGCCUUUCAUGAAGAAUUUGUUCCAAUUGUAAUUGCUUGAAAGCAAAAAUUCCACAAAUGUGAAGCAAUCCAUUUUUUUUGGGGGGGGGGGGGAUGGUAGCCUCGGCGUUUUGGAGUGGAAUCGCGUAAGUGAACGAAUGAGUAAACAGAGAAACGAGUAAGAGCUGCUGAAGCGUGAAUCGAUGUUUAUGGAUCGACACCUAAAGACUUGCUGUGCCGCUGAUGAAAUGAAUGCGGUUUGUGCGCGCGUGUGUGUGAGUGUGUGUAUGUGUGUGUAUCCAAGCUAAGUUUUGAAGCUUGUGGCGAUGCCGUGGUCUCGCUGUCGACUUAUCUAUUUGAAUGAUGACGUAACAAGCCGCAGCUAUUGCUAUCAACAUUUUAUAUCCCUCUCAGGUGUAUUUCUUUGGUUUCUUUUCACGCUCGAACACCCACGUGAUCAAUACUUUGAUUCAAAUGCAUGUCGAAAAGGCGCAACAUGCUACCAUGCCCCUUUUUAUAGCGCCUUCCAGUGUAUAGCAGGGCUGGACCCGCAAAGUGCAUUCAUAAAUUGAGGCCCGCUAAGACUCAUGUAAUAUUUGUUAUGUUCAUUUAGUUUUUUUUUUUGUUUGUUUGUUUAGUAUUUUCUCCCAGAUUUUGAUUCAUUUCAAUGUAUUGAUCAAUGACUUUAUAUUGUAUGAUUUAUCAGAAAAAUGGGCGAAUGGAUUGAAGAGAUGUCUGACAGACCACACGCUAACAAUUUCGUCCAGUGUCAUCUCGAAAACUCACAGACGGCGCGUCACAUUUUAGUCAUCAAAGAGCCAUGUUUAGCUCGUCAGCGUCUCGUAAUCGUCAUUAAAAAAAAAGAGGGGUGGGGGGGUAUUCGCUAAAUUAUGGCGUUAUCGUUGACAAAAACAACACUGAGUAAGAGUUAGAUAAAAUAAACUAUAUUGUCAAGUCGUGUUUGCUACUUUUUUUGUGCUUAAGUUCAAUUUGUCCCGGUCACAAUAGCCCGGCAAGCCGCAGUAACAUUUUUCGUUCUACGCAAAGGAUAAAGAAUCUGUACGCCUAUGAGUUUUAUUCUCUUUCUAUGUCUGUUACGCUCCACUGUUUCAACAAACGGUUAUCAUGACGCAACACUGAUGCUAUUUGUUAGCCGGUCUGCAAAGUUUCGUAUGUUAGCAUGAAGCUAAGGGACA